ACUAUUCUUUAUUUUACAUUAUGGUAUAUCCAUUAAAAUGAAAGUUUUCUGUUGGCCAUUAAAAUAUAAAUUCUUUGAAGAACAUAUAAAUGGAAAGGUAAGCAACUCACCACCAUUUUAAUCCAGUGAAAAAAGCAGGAUAUCAAAUUCUAUAAAUAAUAUAAUCGUUUAAAAAAAUUACAUAUAAUGUAUUAUUAGCUCCAGGGGGUACAGUCUGUGAAUAUAAUCAUUUUUUAUAUGUUUAUAUUUUGUAUGCUUAGGAAAAAAGAGAAACACGCCAGAAUAUUGCCAGGAGGUACCGUCUGUGUGGUAGGAUUAACAGCUGAACUUUUAAUAAAAACGUGAGGAAAUGACCAGGGCCAAAAGCAG